UACGUAGGGUGCAAGCGUUGUCCGGAAUUAUUGGGCGUAAAGAGCUCGUAGGCGGUUUGUUGCGUCGGCUGUGAAAUCCCGAGGCUCAACCUCGGGUCUGCAGUCGAUACGAGCAAACUAGAGUGUUGCAGGGGAGACUGGAAUUCCUGGUGUAGCGGUGAAAUGCGCAGAUAUCAGGAGGAACACCGAUGGCGAAGGCAGGUCUCUGGGCCACUACUGACGCUGAGGAGCGAAAGCGUGGGGAGCGAACAGG
rnacentral:rRNA from 1 species